AGGAUUCUCCUAAGUAACCGGGCGAGUGAACAGGGAAGAGCCCAGUACCGAAGCCUAUUCGCGCUAGUGACAAGUAUGUGGUAUAAGAUGUUUGCCUGGGGCUGUUCGUCUAUACCANNNNNNNNNNNNNNNNNNNNNNNGGAUGUGGUCCAUAGCGGGUGAAAGACCCGUGGGAAUAGAUUGUCAGGCAUGUUGACAGCCCUCAGAUGCAUUCAUCGUGGAGUCGGAUAGCUUGAGAAUGCUGUCCAAAGUGGGUGGUAAACUCCAUCCAAGGCUAAAUAUUUGCACGAAACCGAUAGCUAACAAGUACCGUGAGGGAAAGUUGAAAAGUACUCUGAAGAGAGAGUAAAUAGUACGUGAAGCCGCAUCAAUGGAAGCUGGUGGAGUCAAGCUGCAUGUCUAUAGAAUGAAGUUAGUGACUAUUGUGUUGUGGUUGAGGUGGUCGGUCGAUGGCCUUGUAAAGAGGCUGACGGAUUCGUCUGUCUCCGGUGGGCAUUGGUUAGUGCCCUCGGGUUCGGCUGGCUUGUUCCUCUAUGUCACUAGCGCACUUUCUAUAUGGCAGACAUCACGGUCGGCAAUGUUGUUGGCGUUUAGUAGUCAAACCAUUAGGUAUUGGGUUUCUAAUCCAUGCCUGGUGGGACGGCAGGUAGCUUGUUAGUUGGUCUUGUGCCAGCUAGUGAGCUUUUUGUGGUUGUGACCCGCCGACUACUUUGUUAAGCAUAUAGCCAUACAACUUGCCGUUGCUCAAUGAGGCCAUGCGCUUUUGUCGUUUGUCUUGCAGGCUGCGCUUGUGUGUUUCC
rnacentral:rRNA from 1 species